GGCUUACGGGUAGCUGGUCUGAGAGGAUGAUCAGCCACACUGGAACUGAGACACGGUCCAGACUCCUACGGGAGGCUGCAGUCGAGAAUCAUUGUCAAUGCACGAAAGUGUGAACAUGCGACGCCGCGUGGAGGAAGACGGCCUUCGGGUUGUAAACUCCUGUCAGCAGGGAGUAAGUGCAGCAUUACUAAUAUUAAUGCUGCUUGAUAGUACCUGCAGAGGAAGUCACGGCUAACUCUGUGCCAGCAGCCGCGGUAAUACAGAGGUGGCGAACGUUGUUCGGAUUUACUGGGCGUAAAGGGUCCGCAGGCGGUCCGGUGUGUCGGAUGUGAAAGCUCACAGCUCAACUGUGGAAUUGCAUUCGAAACUGCCGGACUAGAGUACUGGAGGGGAGAAGGGAACACUUGGUGUAGCGGUGAAAUGCGUAGAUAUCAAGUGGAACACCGGAGGCGAAGGCGCUUCUCUGGACAGAUACUGACGCUCAUGGACGAAAGCUUGGGUAGCGAAAGGGAUUAGAUACCCCUGUAGUCCAAGCCGUAAACGGUGUGCACUAGACGUGGGUGGAUUUACCCCCAUCCGUGUCUGAGCUAACGCAUUAAGUGCACCGCCUGGGGAGUACGGUCGCAAGAUUAAAACUCAAAGGAAUUGACGGGGACCCGCACAAGCGGUGGAGCAUGUGGCUUAAUUCGAUGCAACGCGAAGAACCUUACCUGGACUUGACAUAUAGCUGCAUACGACCUGAAAGGGACGUAGCCUUCGAGGGUGCUAUACAGGUGCUGCAUGGCUGUCGUCAGCUCGUGCCGUGAGGUGUUGGGUUAAGUCCCGCAACGAGCGCAACCCCUGUGUUUAGUUGCCAGCACGUAAUGGUGGGAACUCUAAACAGACUGCUUGUGAAAACAAGAGGAAGGUGGGGAUGACGUCAAGUCAGUAUGUCCUUAUGUCCAGGGCUGCACACGUGCUACAAUGGGCGAUACAAUGGGAAGCCAAGCCGCGAGGUGGAGCAAAUCCUCAAAAUCGCCCCCAGUUCGGAUCGUAGUCUGAAACUCGACUGCGUGAAGUUGGAAUCGCUAGUAAAGGCGUAUCAGCUACGACGCCUUGAAUACGUUCCCGGGUCUUGUACACACCGCCCGUCACAUCAUGGAAGUUGGUUGCACCCGAAGUCGCUGAUCCAACCUUUUACUAGGAGGAAGGCGCCUAAGGUGUGAUCAAUAACUGGGAUGAAGUCGGAACAAGGUA
rnacentral:rRNA from 1 species